rnacentral:rRNA from 1 species
GAUGAACGCUGGCGGCGUGCUUAACACAUGCAAGUCGAACGAAGCACUUUACUUGAUUUCCUUCGGGACUGAUUAUUUUGUGACUGAGUGGCGGACGGGUGAGUAACGCGUGGGUAACCUGCCUUGUACAGGGGGAUAACAGUUGGAAACGGCUGCUAAUACCGCAUAAGCGCACAGCAUCGCAUGAUGCAGUGUGAAAAACUCCGGUGGUAUAAGAUGGACCCGCGUUGGAUUAGCUAGUUGGUGAGGUAACGGCCCACCAAGGCGACGAUCCAUAGCCGACCUGAGAGGGUGACCGGCCACAUUGGGACUGAGACACGGCCCAAACUCCUACGGGAGGCAGCAGUGGGGAAUAUUGCACAAUGGGCGAAAGCCUGAUGCAGCGACGCCGCGUGAGCGAAGAAGUAUUUCGGUAUGUAAAGCUCUAUCAGCAGGGAAGAUAAUGACGGUACCUGACUAAGAAGCACCGGCUAAAUACGUG